GGGGAAUAUUGCACAAUGGGCGCAAGCCUGAUGCAGCGACGCCGCGUGAGGGAUGACGGCCUUCGGGUUGUAAACCUCUUUCAGUAGGGAAGAAGCGAAAGUGACGGUACCUGCAGAAGAAGCGCCGGCUAACUACGUGCCAGCAGCCGCGGUAAUACGUAGGGCGCAAGCGUUAUCCGGAAUUAUUGGGCGUAAAGAGCUCGUAGGCGGUUUGUCGCGUCUGCCGUGAAAGUCCGGGGCUCAACUCCGGAUCUGCGGUGGGUACGGGCAGACUAGAGUGAUGUAGGGGAGACUGGAAUUCCUGGUGUAGCGGUGAAAUGCGCAGAUAUCAGGAGGAACACCGAUGGCGAAGGCAGGUCUCUGGGCAUUAACUGACGCUGAGGAGCGAAAGCAUGGGGAGCGAACA
rnacentral:rRNA from 1 species